AGCGGCGGAUGGGUGAGUAACACGUGGGGAACCUGCCCCUAAGUCUGGGAUACCAUUUGGAAACAGGUGCUAAUACCGGAUAAUAAAGCAGAUCGCAUGAUCAGCUUUGAAAGGCGGCGUAAGCUGUCGCUAAGGGAUGGCCCCGCGGUGCAUUAGCUAGUUGGUAAGGUAACGGCUUACCAAGGCGACGAUGCAUAGCCGAGUUGAGAGACUGAUCGGCCACAUUGGGACUGAGACACGGCCCAAACUCCUACGGGAGGCAGCAGUAGGGAAUCUUCCACAAUGGACGCAAGUCUGAUGGAGCAACGCCGCGUGAGUGAAGAAGGUUUUCGGAUCGUAAAGCUCUGUUGUUGGUGAAGAAGGAUAGAGGUAGUAACUGGCCUUUAUUUGACGGUAAUCAACCAGAAAGUCACGGCUAACUACGUGCCAGCAGCCGCGGUAAUACGUAGGUGGCAAGCGUUGUCCGGAUUUAUUGGGCGUAAAGCGAGCGCAGGCGGAAAAAUAAGUCUAAUGUGAAAGCCCUCGGCUUAACCGAGGAACUGCAUCGGAAACUGUUUUUCUUGAGUGCAGAAGAGGAGAGUGGAACUCCAUGUGUAGCGGUGGAAUGCGUAGAUAUAUGGAAGAACACCAGUGGCGAAGGCGGCUCUCUGGUCUGCAACUGACGCUGAGGCUCGAAAGCAUGGGUAGCGAACAGGAUUAGAUACCCUGGUAGUCCAUGCCGUAAACGAUGAGUGCUAAGUGU
rnacentral:rRNA from 1 species